UACGUAGGUGGCAAGCGUUGUCCGGAAUUAUUGGGCGUAAAGCGCGCGCAGGUGGUUUCUUAAGUCUGAUGUGAAAGCCCACGGCUCAACCGUGGAGGGUCAUUGGAAACUGGGGAACUUGAGUGCAGAAGAGGAAAGUGGAAUUCCGAGUGUAGCGGUGAAAUGCGUAGAGAUUUGGAGGAACACCAGUGGCGAAGGCGACUUUCUGGUCUGUAACUGACACUGAGGCGCGAAAGCGUGGGGAGCGAACAGG
rnacentral:rRNA from 1 species